rnacentral:tRNA from 4 species
UGGGGAUUGGUGUAACGGUAGCACGACUGACUCUGGAUCAGUUAGUGGAGGUUCGAAUCCUCCAUCCCCAG